GAAGAAAUAAUUUAAAAAAAAUAUUCCUUUGUCAAAGGAAAAUUAUUUCUUAAAGAAAUUUUCUUCU
rnacentral:tRNA from 1 species